AUGGCCUCCUCUUCCCUCUUCGCCGCCGGGCGCCGCCUUCUCCACUUGGGGCGCGGCAGGCUUCUCCAAGGCCGAGUCCGUCCCCACAAUCCCACUCCUCUGCUCCUCCCUGUGCGCGCCGCAUCCUCUCCUCCCUCCAACAGCGCCGAGAGGCCGCCGCGGCGACCCCCGGGCCUGCAGUCCACGCUGUGGCCGCUGGGCCACCCGGACACGCUUCUGGUGCCGGAGAUCGAGCACUGGGCGGAGAAGCCCCGCAACCGCCUCCGCCCCGUGGAGCUCGAGCGCAUCGUCAAAGAGCUCCGCAAGCGCCGCCGCCACCGCCAGGCCCUCGAGGUCUCCGAAUGGAUGAGUGCUAAGGGUCAUGUCAGAUUUUUGCCAAAGGAUCAUGCUGUUCACCUGGAUUUGAUCGGUCAAGUUCGUGGAAUCGGAGCAGCAGAAGCCUAUUUCAAUCAACUGCCUGAUAAAGAUAAGACGGAGAAACCCUACGGUGCACUCCUGAACUGCUACACACGAGAACUCAUGGUUGAUGAAUCCUUGGCUCAUUUUCAGAAGAUGAAAGAGCUGGGUUUUGUGUUCUGCAGUCUCCCCUACAACAACCUCAUGGGCCUCUAUACUAACAUAGGACAGCAUGAGAAGGUCCCUUCAGUGAUAGCAGAGAUGAAAAGGAGUGGUAUCAUGCCUGACAACUUCAGCUACAGAAUUUGCAUAAACUCUUAUGGCACACGGGCAGAUUUUUUCGGGAUGGAGAACACCCUGGAAGAUAUGGAGUGUGAGCCUCAAAUUGUAGUCGAUUGGAAUACCUAUGCCGUUGCGGCGAGCAACUACAUUAAGGGCAACCUAAGGGAGAAGGCAAUCUCUGCCUUAAAGAAAGCAGAAGCAAAAAUUGACAUAAAAGAUUCAGAUACCUACAACCACCUGAUGUCCCUCUACGGCCAGCUGGGGGACAAGUCAGAGGUGAAGAGGCUGUGGGCACUCCAAAUGUCAAACUGCAAGAGGCAUAUUAAUAAGGACUACACUACAAUGCUUGCAAUGCUUGUGAGACUUGAUGAAAUUGAAGAAGCUGAGGCCUUGUUGAAAGAGUGGGAGUCGAGCGAAAACACAUUCGACUUCCAUGUUCCGAAUGUCUUGAUCACUGGAUACCGACAGAAGGACAUGCUGGACAAGGCCGAAGCGCUGCUGGAUGACUUCUUGAAGAAGGGAAAGAUGCCUCCUUCGAGCAGUUGGGCCAUCGUGGCAAUCGGCUAUGCUGAGAAAGGUGAUGCUGCGAAAGCCUAUGAGUUGACAAAAAAUGCCCUUUGUGUUUACGCUCCGAGGAGCGGCUGGAUCCCGAGGCCUGCGAUGAUUGAGAUGAUACUCAAGUAUCUUGGAGACGAAGGUGAUCUCAAGGAUGUUGAAACUUUCAUUCAACUGCUGCAAGCUGCUAUGCCUAUGAACUUAGAUAUGACCGACGUUUUGUCAAGGGCUCGUAUGAGAGAAGAAAAGAAGGCUGGAGAUGCAGAGAAGGAAGCCCUAAGCUCAACAAAGGCAUCAGGAUAA
rnacentral:rRNA from 1 species